rnacentral:lncRNA from 1 species
GCGCGGCGGACAUGCGCGCCCCCGGCCCGGGCUGCGGCUGAGCGGGGCCGAGAGCGGCCGCCUCGACGGGCCGGGGCUGUGGGCGCUCGGCGGCCGGACCUGUGCUCCGCGAGGCCUCUGUGGGCUCCGAGAAGCUGUUUUCGCCAGCAGCUGGGAAAGGUGAGUCUGUCCUCGGCGAACUCCUGCCUCAGGUCUCCAGAUUCAGAGGGCUGUGCAGGACUUGGGAGGGUUGGUGGUCCAGGAACGCUGGGUGAGGGCCACAGGGAGCAGUUGUCUUUGGGGCAAGCAGCUUUCCCUGAUCUCCAGGGGAGGUCCGAAAGAGG